rnacentral:rRNA from 1 species
GAUGAACGCUGGCGGCGCGCCUAACACAUGCAAGUCGAACGGAGAACAUUUAGCAAUAGAUGUUCUUAGUGGCGGACGGGUGAGUAACGCGUGAGGAACCUGCCUUUCGGAGGGGAAUAACACAUCGAAAGAUGUGCUAAUACCGCAUAACGUCAUUGGGUGGCAUCAUCCGAUGACCAAAAGAGCAAUCUGCCGAAAGAUGGCCUCGCGUCCGAUUAGAUAGUUGGUGAGGUAACGGCCCACCAAGUCUGCGAUCGGUAGCCGGACUGAGAGGUUGAACGGCCACAUUGGGACUGAGACACGGCCCAGACUCCUACGGGAGGCAGCAGUGGGGGAUAUUAGUCAAUGGAGGAAACUCUGAACUAGCGACGCCGCGUGAGGGAAGAAGGUCUUCGGAUUGUAAACCUCUGUCUUCGGGGAAGAUAAUGACGGUACCCGAGGAGGAAGCUCCGGCUAACUACGUG